GACGAACGCUGGCGGCGUGCUUAACACAUGCAAGUCGAACGAUGAACCAGGGCUUGCCCUGGGGAUUAGUGGCGAACGGGUGAGUAACACGUGGGCAACCUGCCCCAGACACCGGGAUAACCAUUCGAAAGAGUGGCUAAUACCGGAUACGACCACUUUGGGCAUCCAACGGUGGUGGAAAGGAUUCUGGUCUGGGAUGGGCCCGCGGCCUAUCAGCUUGUUGGUGGGGUAAUGGCCUACCAAGGCGACGACGGGUAGCCGGCCUGAGAGGGCGACCGGCCACACUGGGACUGAGACACGGCCCAGACUCCUACGGGAGGCAGCAGUGGGGAAUAUUGCGCAAUGGGCGAAAGCCUGACGCAGCGACGCCGCGUGAGGGACGAAGGUCUUCGGAUUGUAAACCUCUUUCAGGAGGGACGAAGGUUCAGGCGCGAAUAGCGUCCUGGACUGACGGUACCUCCAGAAGAAGCUCCGGCUAACUAC
rnacentral:rRNA from 1 species